GCCGCGGUGACGGAAUGGUAGACGUAGGGGACUUAAAAUCCCCGGGCAGAAAUGCCGUGUGGGUUCGAUUCCCACCCGCGGUACCA
rnacentral:tRNA from 1 species